GACGAACGCUGGCGGCGUGCUUAAAACAUGCAAGUCGAACGAAGUGGCGAACGGGUGAGUAACGCGUAAUUAACCUGCCCUUCAGAGGGGGACAACAGUUGGAAACGAAUGCUAAUACAGCAUACUGAAGGAGGGGAUUUCGUCUGAUUAGCUAGGUGGAGGGGGAACGGCCCCCCAAGUCGAUGAGCAGUAGCCGGUCUUCGAGAAUGACCGGCCACAUUGGGACUGUGACACGGCCCAGACUUAUACGGGAGGCAGCAGUGGGGAAUCUUCCGCAAUGGACGAAAGUCUGACGGAGCAACGCCGCGUGAUUGAUGACGGCCUUCGGGUUGUAAAGCUCUGUUAAUCGGGACGCGGUACCGGAAUAGAAAGCCACGGCUAACUACGUGCCAGCAGCCGCGGUAAUAC
rnacentral:rRNA from 1 species